UACGUAGGGGGCAAGCGUUGUCCGGAUUUAUUGGGCGUAAAGCGCUCGCAGGUGGUUCGUCGCGUCGUGCGUGAAAGACCCGGGCUCAACUGGGGGAGGUCGUGCGAUACGGGCGGACUGGAGGCCAGUAGGGGGAUGCGGAAUUCCGGGUGUAGUGGUGGAAUGCGUAGAGAUCCGGAGGAACACCAGCGGCGAAGGCGGCAUCCUGGACUGGUCCUGACACUCAUGAGCGAAAGCGUGGGGAGCGAUCCGG
rnacentral:rRNA from 1 species